rnacentral:tRNA from 1 species
UUUAGGAUGGCUGAGAGUAAGCGGAAGACUGUAGAUCUUUUUACGGAGGCGUACUCCUCCUAUAA